CGCGGGUAGUGUCUGAAGGUGAAGCUGAAGCCACAGCUAUUGAGUACCAGCCUUGGCCAGCCUGGCCCUGGAGAUCCAUCACUAAAGAGCCUGCUGGGAGGGAGUGGCUGCUCCUCCAUCCGAGAAGGCCAGUGUCGGGUUUUAAAGAUCACACACAGAAGACACAUUAGAAGAUUCCCUUCUUCACCGGCAUGGGGUGUAUCCUGUGUGAGCUCCCUGAAUGUUGAUUGGAAUGGGAAAUCCUACUUACAUUCCCUCCUGCCUGCUCCUUGGGAAGUCCUACUUGCAUUCCCUCCUGCCUGCUCCAUUCCUUUGGCAUGUAUGGGGUCAGGGCUUGUGAGCAAGGGGGAGGAUGCAGGCCACAGAGUGGGAGAGUCACUCAAGACUCAACUAACACCAGAACCUCGUCCUUGGUGUCUCAGUGGGCAAGGCUGGGCUUGUCAUCUUGCCCAGCUGCUGGUGGAGGCAGCAUAGACUUGGUGACAGCUUCCUCGGAAGAGAUGAAUGAAGCAAUUGUGUACUUGGUGCAGAGAAGAUUCCAGAUGGAGGAGGUGUUUUCAAUGGCAAUAACCCGGAGAUGGAAUAUUUCAAUGAGUCAACAAAGAGAUACUGGCACCGGCUUCCCUUUGGUCUUGUGAACGCUUGCGAACCUCCGGAGGUAUUCUUGGCACGGACAGCCCUUGUCUAAAAGCUUUUAUUUUCUUCUUCAUCUCAGUCUCUCCUCCCAUCUCCUGCAGGGAUUCCAAACUCAAAUUCUUAGACAACAAAGGCAGUUAACAGAGCCCCAGUGGGUGAGUUCUCAAGCCAGAAGGAGAGUUUUUCUCAUGGCUCUAUAGCCCCCCCUCCCAUUUUUGUUUUGUUUUUAGAAGCAUCGGAUGGCCACAUUUAAGGGGGCUCUUGGAAGUUGCUCCACACCAGUUUAUAGUUUAAGAGGGAAGCUAAGGGUGUGUUAGUCCUACUAAAUGUCUGCCUGGUGACUUUGCAGUUUAAGUAUGCCAGAGAAUGGUGGGCAACUCAGGAAAUUUGUGUUGUUUAAACCACAGUGAAGGACAAGUCACAUAUGUGAUGCCAUUGGGACUGGGGGAAAGAGCAUGAUGCAGUCUGGGCGACAGCUGCAACAUAGCAGGAAUAUGGGAGAGGUUGGCAUAGGUGAGAGUUGGAAACUGGAAGUACCAGCUUGGCAACGGUCUGGGAGACAGAGGGACCUCCCCAGUCUCCGAAAGAUUUACAAGCACCUUUAUCUUGCCUAAAUAAAGUAGCCCAAGAUGGA